rnacentral:tRNA from 7 species
CGGGGCGUAGCGCAGCCUGGUAGCGCACCUGCUUCGGGAGCAGGGGGCCGGAGGUUCAAAUCCUCUCGCCCCGACCA